GCCUCCUACGAAAGUCAAUUGUAUUUGCUUGACUAGAGGGCCUUUGUCAAUAUUCAAAUUGAUCGGAAACAUUCACUACAAACAUCUCAAAAUUACAACGAGUAAAUACGAUAGAAGUACAUCAACUGACUCCACGUCGACGAUCUGUCCACCCUGCGACUGCGCAUCGUGUUUCACAACGAUGUCAUCCUUAACCUCCAAGAGAGACAAAAUCUGCUGAAGAUCUGUAUUCUGUAAUAAACAAUUUGAAUGGA